rnacentral:rRNA from 1 species
GGUAGUCCACGCCGUAAACGAUGUCGACUUGGAGGUUGUGCCCUUGAGGCGUGGCUUCCGGAGCUAACGCGUUAAGUCGACCGCCUGGGGAGUACGGCCGCAAGGUUAAAACUCAAAUGAAUUGACGGGGGCCCGCACAAGCGGUGGAGCAUGUGGUUUAAUUCGAUGCAACGCGAAGAACCUUACCUACUCUUGACAUCCAGAGAACUUUCCAGAGAUGGAUUGGUGCCUUCGGGAACUCUGAGACAGGUGCUGCAUGGCUGUCGUCAGCUCGUGUUGUGAAAUGUUGGGUUAAGUCCCGCAACGAGCGCAACCCUUAUCCUUUGUUGCCAGCGGUUAGGCCGGGAACUCAAAGGAGACUGCCAGUGAUAAACUGGAGGAAGGUGGGGAUGACGUCAGGUCAUCAUGGCCCUUACGAGUAGGGCUACACACGUGCUACAAUGGCGCAUACAAAGAGAAGCGACCUCGCGAGAGCAAGCGGACCUCAUAAAGUGCGUCGUAGUCCGGAUUGGAGUCUGCAACUCGACUCCAUGAAGUCGGAAUCGCUAGUAAUCGUAGAUCAGAAUGCUACGGUGAAUACGUUCCCGGGCCUUGUACACACCGCCCGUCACACCAUGGGAGUGGGUUGCAAAAGAAGUAGGUAGCUUAACCUUCGGGAGGGCGCUUACCACUUUGUGAUUCAUGACUGGGGUGAAGUCGUAACAAGGUAACCGUGGGGGAACCUGC